GAUUAACGCUGGCGGCGUGCAUAACACAUGCAAGUCGAACGAUGAAGAUUAUUAGACUUCUUCGGAAUGAAAAUAAUUGGAUUAGUGGCGGACGGGUGAGUAACGCGUGAGUAACCUGCCUUACACAAGGGGAUAGCCGUUGGAAGCGACGAAUAAUACCCUAUGAAACUAUCACUUCGCAUGAAGCGAUAGUCAAAGUGUUAGCGGUGUAAGAUGGACUUGCGUCUGAUUAGCUAGUUGGUGAGAAAAAAGCCCACCAAGGCAACGAUCAGUAGCCGGCUUGAGAGAGUGUACGGCCACAUUGGGACUGAGACACGGCCCAGACUCCUACGGGAGGCAGCAGUGGGGAAUUUUGCACAAUGGGGGAAACCCUGAUGCAGCGACGCCGCGUGAUUUAGAAGGCCUUCGGGUUGUAAAAAUCUUUUGUAUAGGAAGAAAAUGACAGUACUAUACGAAUAAGGUCCGGCUAAUUACGUG
rnacentral:rRNA from 1 species